rnacentral:lncRNA from 1 species
GGCACCAGAACCACUGAGCUAAAUUCCCGGCCCCUCAGCUGUUUUUCUUCAAAAGCACUUCAGCUGUUUUCUUUCUUUGGGGGAGCUUCAAUCCUCAUCUUCAUCUUGGACAUCAUUUUCUGGCUUCCAGUGCAGACCCCUCAGCCUUCUGGCGCAGAUCCUGCAGCCUUUUGCCACAGACCCCUCAGCUUCUGGCACUGGCCCUUGGGCCUGUCCGCCGCAGCUCCUUCAGCCUCCUGAUAACAGACUUGCUCAGGACAUGGCCAUGGCAUCCAGGCCCUCGACUGGAUCCUUCGGGUCUCCAGCGAGCAGGCAGACAUGUUACACUCUUCUACAUCUGACUCUACUCAAGUGUGACCUGUACCCCGGCAGCUCCCAUGGCCAGGUCCCCAGCCUUGCAGCCUCCUUCAGAGCCCUGACCUCCUGCAGCAGUGGCAGCAUUUUGAGCUGGCUGAGGCUUGGCUGAGCUUUGCGUCACACGGGCCGUCUGACCCCAGUACCCGGCCUGAAGAACUUGACCUUUGACAGACAGCUCUUGAGAAUGUACUUGAGGAGAAGGCCAACCUUCCGGCGGGUCGUGAGUAGGGCUUCCUCGCUGCCUCCCUCCCCAGAUCCCCGCUUUUCCAUGCCACUGUCAGCAGCCGCCUCCAGGCUGAUGUCCCGCUGGAGCUCGUCCUCCUCCAGGGCCUUGAUACGGACCCGAUGGGCAUCCUCAGCCAACUCAUUGAGGCAGCCCUGGAGCAUGGUGUAGACGGUGCCGAAGCUGAUGCCACCAGCCACCAGUGUGCCGAACGUAGGGAUGCCCCUCUCAAAGGCACGGGCCACCUUCAUGGCGCCAUCGGCCGACGGUGAGUAGAGCCGCAGGACGGUCUCCGGCGAGACCUCGUUGGCUAGCAGGGAGCGGGUGACGGAGAGCAGGUCGCCCGGCUGCUUGCCCACCUGUUCGGCCAGCUUGGCCAGCGAGUCGUCAUCCAGGC